UACGUAGGGUGCAACGUUGUCCGGAAUUAUUGGGCGUAAAGAGCUCGUAGGCGGUCUGUUGCGUCGGCUGUGAAAACCCGGGGCUCAACCCCGGGCCUGCAGCCGAUACGGGCAGACUAGAGUUCGGCAGGGGAGACUGGAAUUCCUGGUGUAGCGGUGAAAUGCGCAGAUAUCAGGAGGAACACCGGUGGCGAAGGCGGGUCUCUGGGCCGAUACUGACGCUGAGGAGCGAAAGCGUGGGGAGCGAACAGGAUUGAUA
rnacentral:rRNA from 1 species